AGCAGAGAGUGUGUGUCACUAUUGUACAUGUACUCCAGCAGAGAGUGUGUGUGUCACUAUUGUACAUGUACUCCAGCAGAGAGUGUGUGUGUCAAACCCCGAAUCAACAGGACCUUUGUUAUCUGAGAGCUGUGGGUGUGGUGUAGGUGUGAUACCUGCGAAUC